CACCGGAACUGAUGGUUUAGUGAGGCCUUCUGACUGGCGCCGCUACUCUGGCAACAGAGCGGCGGAUGCCGGGAAGUUGGUCAAACUUGAUCAUUUAGAGGAAGUAAAAGUCGUAACAAGGUUUCCGUAGGUGAACCUGCGGAAGGAUCAUUACCGAUGUGAAAAAUCCAAGGUUAAACAUCAUUAACCAGUGUGAACUGAGUGACAACUCUUUCUGGGUCGGCCCACGCGUGUGUGUGUAAAUGGAGGAUAGGUUCGUUCCGUCCGCCCCGCCCUUGUGUGUGUUAUUUCUCUUUGUUUGUUCGAGACUGACUGCUAUGGAUCGUGCCUUGAAUGUAUGGUAAAAAAAGAAAGAAAAAAGAAAGACAACUUUUGACGGGGGAUCGCUUGGCUCGCGUCUCGAUGAAAAAAGCAACCCGCUGCGAUGUGAAAUGUGAAGUGAAUAGUUCAAUGAAUCGUUGCAUCUUUGAACUCAAAUGGCGCUCUUGGGUUCUCCCCUGAGCAUGUCUGUCUGAGUGGAUGAUUUUAUCUAACGCACUCCUGAGUGCAGUAUUGAAGUGACACGGCGUGUUAUGUAACAAGCAUUAAAUCACCGUGUCCCGUGAAUUGCAGCACCAUUGGACUCGCAUUCUCUACUGAAUCGUGACUGCGAUGGCUAAACAUAAUAUUUUCCUUCCCUUCGACCUGCCAUACCAUAAACAAAGUCCAAUCAAAUCGGUGACAGGACAUGAAAUAAUCAUCUCUUGAUCUCAUAUCAUGCAAGGCUACUCGCUGCAUUAUUAUUCAUAUUAAUAAGCGGAGGAAGAAGAAACUAAUAACGAUUCUCCUCUCUAGCGGCGAGUAGAGCGGCGAAUAGCUCAUCUUAGUAGUCAUCCGACGACUUGCUGUCGGCCGACGUAGUAGUUGCUGAGAAGAAACUUUCUACUCGGAAUCAGCUCGUGCCUACAUAUUGCUUGUAGCAGCACGAUCAUCAGUAGGAGGGACGACCACCCCUCUGCUGUUUGCGUCCGGGCGGCCUCCAUGAUGAUGCUGUUCUUUAAAAAUAAGUGUUUGCUUUGGUUGACUGCUGUCCCCCACAAACAAAAAACAAGAUCU
rnacentral:rRNA from 1 species